rnacentral:tRNA from 1 species
GGGGCGGUGGCGGAAUGGCAGACGCAUCGGUCUUAAAAACCGAAGGGCUAAGCCCGUGUGGGUUCGAAUCCCACCCGCCCUA